GAUGAACGCUGGCUACAGGCUUAACACAUGCAAGUCGAGGGGAAACGGCAUUGGGUGCUUGCACCGAAUGGACGUCGACCGGCGCACGGGUGAGUAACGCGUAUCCAACCUUCCCGUUACUGCGGGAUAACCUGCCGAAAGGCAGACUAAUACCGCAUGUUCUUCGAUGACGGCAUCAGAUUCGAAGCAAAGAUCCGUCGGUAACGGAGGGGGAUGCGUCUGAUUAGCUAGUUGGCGGGGCGACGGCCCACCAAGGCGACGAUCAGUAGGGGUUCUGAGAGGAAGGUCCCCCACAUUGGAACUGAGACACGGUCCAAACUCCUACGGGAGGCAGCAGUGAGGAAUAUUGGUCAAUGGGCGGAAGCCUGAACCAGCCAAGUAGCGUGCAGGAUGACGGCCCUACGGGUUGUAAACUGCUUUUAUGCGGGGAUAAAGUGAGGGACGCGUCCCUUUUUGCAGGUACCGCAUGAAUAAGGACCGGCUAAUUCCGUGCCAGCAGCCGCGGUAAUACGGAAGGUCCGGGCGUUAUCCGGAUUUAUUGGGUUUAAAGGGAGCGUAGGCCGGGGAUUAAGUGUGUUGUGAAAUGUAGGCGCCCAACGUCUGACUUGCAGCGCAUACUGGUUCCCUUGAGUACGCGCAACGCCGGCGGAAUUCGUCGUGUAGCGGUGAAAUGCUUAGAUAUGACGAAGAACCCCGAUUGCGAAGGCAGCCGGCGGGAGCGCAACUGACGCUGAAGCUCGAAGGUGCGGGUAUCGAACAGG
rnacentral:rRNA from 1 species